rnacentral:rRNA from 1 species
UACGUAGGGUGCGAGCGUUGUCCGGAAUUAUUGGGCGUAAAGGGCUCGUAGGCGGUCUGUCGCGUCGGGAGUGAAAACUCAGGGCUUAACCCUGAGCCUGCUUCCGAUACGGGCAGACUAGAGGUAUGCAGGGGAGAACGGAAUUCCUGGUGUAGCGGUGAAAUGCGCAGAUAUCAGGAGGAACACCGGUGGCGAAGGCGGUUCUCUGGGCAUUACCUGACGCUGAGGGGCGAAAGUGUGGGGAGCGAACAGG